rnacentral:lncRNA from 1 species
CCCGGUUUGCGGGGUCUCCCGGGAAGCCAGCCCCACAUUUUCUAAGGAGCUGUAGCUUCUAUUCCUCUGCAGCGUCAGCCUCCCCUCGGCCAUUGCCAAAGGCACUUAGACAGCCCAGCCCGGGGCAUUCACAGAAGAGCCGAGUCAUCCCUUAUGAGGCCACAUGCACUCAGUGGUCCCCGGAGCCUCUGUCCGGAGGUCAGGGGGCGCCUGGAAAUUCUGGGAGCAUACUGCAGAGUCAGGGGGUGAAGCCCUGCUCUGCGGCCGGCCGAGGCCUGUGGGGAGGCAGAGAGCCAGUGGCUGCGUCAGGAAUACUCAUUCUCGGCUCUGGAGGUAGGGCUUUCAGGGCCCCGUCGAGACCGUGAGCAUCCGUGCUGCAGGGGCUGGCUUCCUCAGUCCUGCCUCCAGCCCCUAGACGGAAGGACUGGCGUGUGUGGCCAGCCAGCUCAGGACCGCUCUUGGUCAAAUCGAGGUGCAUCUGGCCAGACAACAUGAUGCAGCCUGGAAUUGCCAUCUCUCCUCCUGGGAGGUUUAUCCCUCCCAUCUGCUACAUUUCACCCAAAUGAGGAUGCAGAUCAGAAACAUGUUGCAGUAUGAGCUCUCUGCAGAAUUGGUGUGUGCUCCAUCUUUGAAUGUAUCACUCUCAUCACAGUGCCUGGUAUACAGCAGUUUCUCACUAAACACUUACUAACUCAUUUAAUAAAUGACUGAGUGAGCCA